UGUAUCGUACUAUGGUAGUUCGGCCGCGAGUUACGUCUUUGUUUGGGAAACGCACCCUAGCGCGAUUUAUGUUUAUACUAAGAGGAAAGCAUACAUAAAUAAGCGUCCCUCUAAGCAGUGUGCACGACAUCUGGAUGUCCGUUUACAAUAUAUAACUGCAAAGGUAUUUCCAACUUCUCUUUAAUUUUAAAAGACUGAAUAUGUACUUCAAAAGUGUUGCGUAUGAAUCAGCCACCAAGUGCAAGUCUAAACCAAAGCAAAUCCCACAGCUCGCGUCAAGCAAGGAGUGAAGCAGCAGGAUUCCACUGAAGAUUAAGAAAUGAUCAUGAAAGGGUUAUCUGCAGUUGAGGGAAUGAUGUGAUGUUGUGGCGGUACACACACACCCACAUAUGGAUCCCCAUACGGAGGUCAGCGGCUGGCCAGCAGGCAGCACACACCGCACAAUAAAACUGUGAACAGGACCGGUGCAUACAGAAAAGAGUUUAGUGCAGGCUCCGUCACACAGCAGACAUUGAUUUGUGGUG
ensembl:processed_transcript